rnacentral:rRNA from 1 species
UACGAAGGGGGCGAGCGUUGUUCGGAAUCACUGGGCGUAAAGGGCGCGUAGGCGGCCCUCCUUGUCGCGUGUGAAAGCCCCGGGCUCAACCUGGGAACGGCGCGCGAGACGGGGGGGCUGGAGUUCGGGAGAGGAGCGUGGAAUUCCCAGUGUAGAGGUGAAAUUCGUAGAUAUUCGCAAGAACACCAGUGGCGAAGGCGGCUCACUGGCCCGAUACUGACGCUGAGGCACGAAAGCGUGGGGAGCAAACAGG